rnacentral:rRNA from 1 species
GGGUUGUGAGGUUAAGCGACUAAGCGUACACGGUGGAUGCCCUGGCAGUCAGAGGCGAUGAAGGGCGUGCUAAUCUGCGAUAAGCGCCGGUAAGGUGAUAUGAACCGUUAUAACCGGCGAUACCCGAAUGGGGAAACCCAGUGUGACUCGUCACACUAUCAUUAACUGAAUCCAUAGGUUAAUGAGGCGAACCGGGGGAACUGAAACAUCUAAGUACCCCGAGGAAAAGAAAUCAACCGAGAUUCCCCCAGUAGCGGCGAGCGAACGGGGAGGAGCCCAGAGCCUGAAUCAGCAUGUGUGUUAGUGGAAGCGUCUGGAAAGGCGCGCGAUACAGGGUGACAGCCCCGUACACAAAAGCGCAUGUGCUGUGAGCUCGAUGAGUAGGGCGGGACACGUGGUAUCCUGUCUGAAUAUGGGGGGACCAUCCUCCAAGGCUAAAUACUCCUGACUGACCGAUAGUGAACCAGUACCGUGAGGGAAAGGCGAAAAGAACCCCGGCGAGGGGAGUGAAAAAGAACCUGAAACCGUGUACGUACAAGCAGUGGGAGCACAGGUUUACCUGUGUGACUGCGUACCUUUUGUAUAAUGGGUCAGCGACUUAUAUUCNNNNNNNNNNNNNNNNNNNNNNNNNNNNNNNNNNNNNNNNNNNNNNNNNNNNNNNNNNNNNNNNNNNNNNNNNNNNNNNNNNNNNNNNNAUCUAGCCAUGGGCAGGUUGAAGGUUGGGUAACACUAACUGGAGGACCGAACCGACUAAUGUUGAAAAAUUAGCGGAUGACCUGUGGCUGGGGGUGAAAGGCCAAUCAAACCGGGAGAUAGCUGGUUCUCCCCGAAAGCUAUUUAGGUAGCGCCUCGUGAAUUCAUCUCCGGGGGUAGAGCACUGUUUCGGCUAGGGGGCCAUCCCGGCUUACCAACCCGAUGCAAACUGCGAAUACCGGAGAAUGUUAUCACGGGAGACACACGGCGGGUGCUAACGUCCGUCGUGAAGAGGGAAACAACCCAGACCGCCAGCUAAGGUCCCAAAGUCAUGGUUAAGUGGGAAACGAUGUGGGAAGGCCCAGACAGCCAGGAUGUUGGCUUAGAAGCAGCCAUCAUUUAAAGAAAGCGUAAUAGCUCACUGGUCGAGUCGGCCUGCGCGGAAGAUGUAACGGGGCUAAACCAUGCACCGAAGCUGCGGCAGCGACACUGUGUGUUGUUGGGUAGGGGAGCGUUCUGUAAGCCUGCGAAGGUGGCCUGUGAGGGUUGCUGGAGGUAUCAGAAGUGCGAAUGCUGACAUAAGUAACGAUAAAGCGGGUGAAAAGCCCGCUCGCCGGAAGACCAAGGGUUCCUGUCCAACGUUAAUCGGGGCAGGGUGAGUCGACCCCUAAGGCGAGGCCGAAAGGCGUAGUCGAUGGGAAACGGGUUAAUAUUCCCGUACUUGGUGUUACUGCGAAGGGGGGACGGAGAAGGCUAUGUUGGCCGGGCGACGGUUGUCCCGGUUUAAGCGUGUAGGUGUGUGUUCCAGGUAAAUCCGGUUCACUUUAACACUGAGGCGUGACGACGAGGCACUACGGUGCUGAAGCAACAAAUGCCCUGCUUCCAGGAAAAGCCUCUAAGCAUCAGGUAACAUCAAAUCGUACCCCAAACCGACACAGGUGGUCAGGUAGAGAAUACCAAGGCGCUUGAGAGAACUCGGGUGAAGGAACUAGGCAAAAUGGUGCCGUAACUUCGGGAGAAGGCACGCUGACACGUAGGUGAAGUGAUUUACUCAUGGAGCUGAAGUCAGUCGAAGAUACCAGCUGGCUGCAACUGUUUAUUAAAAACACAGCACUGUGCAAACACGAAAGUGGACGUAUACGGUGUGACGCCUGCCCGGUGCCGGAAGGUUAAUUGAUGGGGUCAGCGCAAGCGAAGCUCCUGAUCGAAGCCCCGGUAAACGGCGGCCGUAACUAUAACGGUCCUAAGGUAGCGAAAUUCCUUGUCGGGUAAGUUCCGACCUGCACGAAUGGCGUAAUGAUGGCCAGGCUGUCUCCACCCGAGACUCAGUGAAAUUGAACUCGCUGUGAAGAUGCAGUGUACCCGCGGCAAGACGGAAAGACCCCGUGAACCUUUACUAUAGCUUGACACUGAACAUUGAGCCUUGAUGUGUAGGAUAGGUGGGAGGCUUUGAAGUGUGGACGCCAGUCUGCAUGGAGCCGACCUUGAAAUACCACCCUUUAAUGUUUGAUGUUCUAACGUGGACCCGUUACCCGGGUUGCGGACAGUGUCUGGUGGGUAGUUUGACUGGGGCGGUCUCCUCCUAAAGAGUAACGGAGGAGCACGAAGGUUGGCUAAUCCUGGUCGGACAUCAGGAGGUUAGUGCAAUGGCAUAAGCCAGCUUGACUGCGAGCGUGACGGCGCGAGCAGGUGCGAAAGCAGGUCAUAGUGAUCCGGUGGUUCUGAAUGGAAGGGCCAUCGCUCAACGGAUAAAAGGUACUCCGGGGAUAACAGGCUGAUACCGCCCAAGAGUUCAUAUCGACGGCGGUGUUUGGCACCUCGAUGUCGGCUCAUCACAUCCUGGGGCUGAAGUAGGUCCCAAGGGUAUGGCUGUUCGCCAUUUAAAGUGGUACGCGAGCUGGGUUUAGAACGUCGUGAGACAGUUCGGUCCCUAUCUGCCGUGGGCGCUGGAGAACUGAGGGGGGCUGCUCCUAGUACGAGAGGACCGGAGUGGACGCAUCACUGGUGUUCGGGUUGUCAUGCCAAUGGCACUGCCCGGUAGCUAAAUGCGGAAGAGAUAAGUGCUGAAAGCAUCUAAGCACGAAACUUGCCCCGAGAUGAGUUCUCCCUGAGACUUAAAGUCUCCUGAAGGAACGUUGAAGACGACGACGUUGAUAGGCCGGGUGUGUAAGCGCAGCGAUGCGUUGAGCUAACCGGUACUAAUGAACCGUGAGGCUUAACCUUACAACGCCGAAG